UAAGGAAUAUUGGUCAAUGGACGCAAGUCUGAACCAGCCACGCCGCGUGAAGGAUGAAGGCGCUCUGCGUCGUAAACUUCUUUUUUCAAGGAAGAAAAGAUUUGUUUCUACAGAUUUUGACGGUACUUGAUGAAUAAGCACCGGCUAACUCCGUGCCAGCAGCCGCGGUAAUACGGAGGGUGCAAGCGUUAUCCGGAUUUACUGGGUUUAAAGGGUGCGUAGGCUGACUGAUAAGUCAGUGGUGAAAUCCUCGGGCUUAACCCGGGAAUUGCCGUUGAUACUAUUAGUCUUGAAUAUAGUUGAGGUGAGCAGAAUGCGUGGUGUAGCGGUGAAAUGCUUAGAUAUCACGCAGAAUACCGAUUGCGAAGGCAGCUCGCUAAACUAUUAUUGACGCUGAGGCACGAAAGCGUGGGGAUCAAACAGGAUUAGAUACCCCGGUAGUCC
rnacentral:rRNA from 1 species